CACACACACACACACACACAGAAAACAUUCUCAGUUUAGUUAUUAAUAUUUUGAAUUAAUAUUUCAAGACAAAUUUAAUGGUGCAAGUAAGUCUGGGCCUCCCUUUGCUCCACCAUAGGUGUACUGAUUCCAUUGCAGUUUGUUGCACUUCAGAGGAGCCUGACACCUACAAGAUCUAGAAUUCUAUAUAUUUUUUUCAAAUAUAAUACAUCAGUCCACUGUGACCCCCAAACUGAGAAACACCAAGCUUUUAAAUGGUCACUUUGGAGUCCCUUAAAUUUUAUUUACAUUUACCUUAUAAAUAAAUAUAGAGAUAAAUAGAAAACUUUCAGUCUUUGAUAGUAUAAAAGGAAAUAUGGAGAUCAUAGAUAUGGGGUGGACUAAGGAUAUGAUGCACAUUGCUAUAAAGAACUACCUAAGACUGGGUAAUUUAUGGAGAAAAGAGGUUUAAUUGAUUCACAGUUUCACAAACUGUGCAGCAGGCAUGGCUGGAGGAGCCUUAGGAAACUUACAGUCAUUGCAGAAGGGUGAAGGGGAAGUAAGAACAUCUUCACAUGAUGGCAGGAGUGAGAGAGCAAAGGGGGAAGUGCUACACACUUUUAAACAACCAGAUCUGGUGAGAACUCACUAUCACAGGAACAGCAAGGCGGAAAUCCAUCCCCAUGAUCCAAUCAUGUCCUACCAGGUCCUUCCCCCAAUAUUGGGAAUUACACUUUGACCUGAGAUUUGGGUGUGGACACAGAGCCAAACCACACCAGUGGACAAGGGAAAGGCUACUUCAUGUUAAUGUCUAAAGUUGAUGAAAUAAGCAGAAAUUUAAGAAUAUGAUUUAAAUUGCAAAGAUAACUGAUCAUAUUACUAAUAAAUAAUAAAACUAUGGGGAGGCAGGAAAGAGCAGUUGAUGACUAACAUAAAGGAACACAUUCUUAACUUUCAGGAGGAUAGGAAGAUAGGAAGUCAUAAAUGAUGACUGGAAUUGAAAAAGCAAAAAAAAAAAAAAAUGUGAUCUGUAUGCC